rnacentral:rRNA from 1 species
AUGACACGUAGAUGGACUACUGGUGAGCGAUGGGAAAAGGCAGAGGCGGGACAUGUCAAGGCAAGUGCUAUUGGUGCUCCAGACAAACGCUUGUGUUGUGGUGGUGCGAUCAUGCAUGAUCACCAUGGCAAGGAUAUAGACGUUCAUAGGCUUGUUCUGGAGAUGGGUUGCAUCAUACAGUCCCUGACAUAUUUGAAGAGGGACGGGUUCACACAUGGUUUUCUCAUUGAAGAGGUGAAGACUAUGCUACGGCCUCUAGAUGAUCACAAGAGCGCUAGAGAUUGGUACCUGCUUCAGCGAGAACAUUAUGACAGUGUGACAAGAGAGUUAAAAAACUACAGCCGUGAGGUUGUGUGGACUGAAAGGCUAGCUAAGCUGCUUAAUGUGGUAUACGUGCUGGGUACGCCUUUUAUCGUUGGCCCUUUGGUCUUAAAAGGGAUUGCCAUUCGGAGAAUGUGCCCUUUGUUCAGGGCCCUGGUUUAUGUACACUGGACUGCUAUGUGCAGCGCCAACUUUGCUAUGUGCAGAGCUAAGCUAUUAGCGAAAUCAUAUGGCUUAAGAUUAUAA